UCACGAGUUUGAUCAUGGCUCAGAUUGAACGCUGGCGGAAUGCUUUACACAUGCAAGUCGAACGGUAAGAGGGGGGCAACCCCUUGAGAGUGGCGAACGGGUGAGUAAUAUAUCGGAACGUGCCCAGUCGUGGGGGAUAACGUAGCGAAAGUUACGCUAAUACCGCAUACGAUCUAAGGAUGAAAGCGGGGGAUCGCAAGACCUCGCGCGAUUGGAGCGGCCGAUAUCAGAUUAGGUAGUUGGUGAGGUAAAGGCUCACCAAGCCAACGAUCUGUAGCUGGUCUGAGAGGACGACCAGCCACACUGGAACUGAGACACGGUCCAGACUCCUACGGGAGGCAGCAGUGGGGAAUAUUGGACAAUGGGCGAAAGCCUGAUCCAGCAAUGCCGCGUGAGUGAUGAAGGCCUUCGGGUUGUAAAGCUCUUUUACUCGGGACGAUAAUGACGGUACCGAGAGAAUAAGCCCCGGCUAACUCCGUG
rnacentral:rRNA from 1 species